rnacentral:rRNA from 1 species
AGUGAACGCUGGCGGUAGGCCUAACACAUGCAAGUCGAACGGCCGCACAGUAAGAGCUUGCUCUUACGGGUGGCGAGUGGCGGACGGGUGAGGAAUACAUCGGAAUCUACUUUUUCGUGGGGGAUAACGUAGGGAAACUUACGCUAAUGCCGCAUACGACCUACGGGUGAAAGCAGGGGAUCUUCGGACCUUUCGCGAUUGAAUGAGCCGAUGUCGGAUUAGCUAGUUGGCGGGGUAAAGGCCCACCAAGGCGACGAUCCGUAGCUGGUCUGAGAGGAUGAUCAGCCACACUGGAACUGAGACACGGUCCAGACUCCUACGGGAGGCAGCAGUGGGGAAUAUUGGACAAUGGGCGCAAGCCUGAUCCAGCCAUACCGCGUGAGUGAAGAAGGCCUUCGGGUUGUAAAGCCCUUUUGUUGGGAAAGAAAAGCAGCAGGUUAAUACCCCGCUGUUCUGACGGUACCCAAAGAAUAAGCAACGGCUAACUUCGUG